UUUAGAAUACUACUGAAAUUAGCUGUACAGCUGCAGCUGCAGUUGCUGCGGAUAUGCGUUUGCAGCAUGUCCGUGUGUGCAUCGUAGUUUCGGACGUCGAAGAAAGAUGGUGAGAAAUGGGUGAAAACAUUCGAGAAGCGCCACGGAAAGUUCCCUGGCAUGAAGUAGCUCCAAUUCUUGUCAGGGCAAGAAAUCAGACAACGUGCGCAGUAGAUGAUGAUGGUGGAACUAUGUUAAAAGGAGAAAGGUUCGGCUUUUUAGGCCCGAAUGCAGAAUGACAGGUUGCUGAAGGUGACCAUUAUGCUUGGCAUGCCUGAUGGGGCAUUGGAAAGGGGGAGCCAAGGCGGAUGUGGAUUGGCGACUAAAUGGAUCAGCAUGACCCUUCGCCUUCGCCUCGUGACGGAGAUCUUUAUGACUCUCUCUCUUUCUCUCUCGCUCUCUCGCUCGCUCGCUCCUUCUCCCUCUUUCUCUGUGUCUCCCUGUCUGUCUCUCUCGUUUUCUGUCUGUGUGUGUGUGGAGAGAGCGUGUGUGUUUGUUUUUAUCGUUAUGUAACUGGUUGUGUGAGAGGGGGUGAGUGUGUAUGUGUCCGCAUGUGUACACAGAUGUCAUAUGACCAUAUAUGAAGAUCAAAACAAAUGAUUCUUGCAGCGCCAUCAGCAUUCCUUCUACAACCUCGUAUUCUACCAGACUAACGUCAUGCGCCGUCGUUGCUUGGCGCACACUACUUACAUCCCAAGUAGGGCGAGCGACACGACCUGGUCUCAUAUCCUUCAGGAACUCCGGUGAGGAACUUCUCCAGGAACUCCUGUUUAGAGUAUACAGGGAAUUUUACUGCAUUCGCUCUUGCAGGAAAUGCAUGGGGUGUAUAGACUUACAAGUAACUGAGUACAGGGAAUUUAUGUCAAGAAAUUUUAUCUUUUCGUUUGUUGCGCCAUUUUCUGAGUCAGUUUGUUCCGUCUUCCAAAACCAAAUUCCUUGCUUUGUUGAGUCACUUUGAAAUGGUUAGGCGAAUUCUCGUGUCUCUCGGAUCCUCGGCAUACAAAGAUAAAUCUUCGUGACUUUUGACAGGCUUCCUAGCAAGGAUAUAUAGCGUCAAUUGGACUACUCAGGAUAACCUCUCGGCUGCUUUAAGACGGCAAGAUAACCUCCCGAAGCAGGGUUGAAGAAGACAGCGACAAAGGCAGCUGAAGGUUGGACGUGCUCAGUGAUUUGGUCAAUAAGCAAGUAUUAAAAACAAGUAAACAGACGAAGUAAAAAGCCGAUCGAGAGAGAGGAAACUGUCGUGCAGCUUUUCAGAUUUCGUGCUCAACAAACUGUAACUACAACAGAGAUAAGAGCAAUAAAACACACGACAUGCAUCUCGUGUGCUUCCUUGCUAC